rnacentral:rRNA from 1 species
GAUGAACGCUGGCGGCGUGCCUAAUACAUGCAAGUCGAGCGAACAGACGAGGAGCUUGCUCCUCUGACGUUAGCGGCGGACGGGUGAGUAACACGUGGAUAACCUACCUAUAAGACUGGGAUAACUUCGGGAAACCGGAGCUAAUACCGGAUAAUAUAUUGAACCGCAUGGUUCAAUAGUGAAAGACGGUUUUGCUGUCACGUAUAGAUGGAUCCGCGCCGCAUUAGCUAGUUGGUAAGGUGACGGCUUACCAAGGCAACGAUGCGUAGCCGCCCUGAGGGGGUCGUCGGCCAGACUGGAACUGAGCCACGGUCGAGACUCCUGCGCGAGGCCGCAGUCGGGACUCCUCCGCGAUGGGCCAGUGCCUGACGGUGCAACGCCGCGUGAGUGAUGAAGCUCUUCGGAUCGUAAAGCUCUGUUAUCCGUGAAGAACUAAUGUGUAAGUAACUAUGCACGUCUUGACGGUACCUAAACAGAAAGCCCCGGCUAACUACGUG